rnacentral:rRNA from 1 species
AUGUCGUCGGCCGGGAGGGCGAGGGCCGCGAGCCUGGCGGCGGUGGCGGUGCGGAUGGUGGUGGGGGCGGCAGCGCGGCCCGCGCCGAGCGCGGCGCUGAUGAUGGCGGCGGUGCGGGGGGAGGACACGGAGUUCGGGACGGCGUCCUGGUGGGCGUACGCGGCCCUGUCCGCCUUCCUAGUGCUGCUGGCCGGGAUCAUGUCGGGGCUCACCCUGGGCCUCAUGUCGCUCGGCCCCGUGGAUCUGGAGAUCCUCAUGCGCAGCGGCACCGACGCCGAGAAGGCCCAGGCCGCUGCGAUCCUUCCGGUUGUAAAGAAGCAGCACCAGCUUCUUGUCACUCUGCUGCUGUGUAAUGCUUGUGCCAUGGAGGCUCUCCCUAUAUUCCUUGACAGGAUUUUCAAUCCUGUUCUUGCUAUUAUAUUGUCAGUGACUUUUGUUCUUGCCUUUGGGGAGGUUAUACCUCAAGCAAUAUGUACUAGGUAUGGGCUGGCAGUGGGUGCUAGCUUUGUCUGGCUUGUACGCAUCGUCAUGGUCAUUGCCUAUCCUAUUGCUUACCCGAUUGGGAAGCUCCUAGACUUUGCUCUUGGGCAUGAAUCUGCGCUUUUCAGGCGAGCUCAAUUGAAAGCUCUUGUUUCUAUCCAUAGCAAAGCGGCUGGUAAGGGUGGAGAGCUUACCCAUGAUGAGACUACAAUCAUAAGUGGAGCGUUGGACUUAACUGAAAAGACUGCCGAAGAAGCUAUGACACCUAUUGAAUCAACUUUCUCUUUAGAUGUGGACUCCAAGUUGGAUUGGGAAACAAUUGGUACAAUUCUUGCCCGGGGCCACAGCCGUGUACCUGUGUAUUCAGGAAACCCUAGAAAUGUUAUAGGUCUCCUAUUGGUCAAAAGUCUUCUGACAGUUCGUGCUGAAAUAGAGACGCCAGUUAGUGCUGUUUCUAUUAGGAGGAUUCCAAGGGUUCCUUCAGACAUGCCUUUGUAUGAUAUACUGAACGAGUUUCAGAAAGGUGGUAGUCAUAUGGCUGCUGUUGUGAAGGCAAAGCCUAAGAACGCACCACCUCAUGAUAAAACUGAACCUGGUAUGGAGUCGGCUGGGGCAACACAACUGACUGCACCCUUGCUAGCCAGUACUGAUGAAAGGGUGGAUACUAUUAUUGUUGAUACUGAAAGACAACAGAACAUGCAGGUUAAUAGAAAUAAAGCCCACUCGAUGCAGCCGAAUGAUACACCGUCAAAUGCACUGGCUCAGUUAUCAGAGGAUAUGGAUAAUGGUAGUGUCAUUGGUAUCAUCACACUGGAAGACGUAUUUGAAGAACUCUUGCAGGAGGAGAUAGUUGAUGAGACGGACGAAUAUGUUGAUGUCCAUCAAAGGAUUCGAGUGGCUGCUGCAGUCGCUGCAUCAGCAGUUGCAAGGGUUCCAUCUUAUCGAAAAUUAUUGAGUCAAAAGGGUGCACAGGGACAGGGUCAGCCAGGGCAACAGCCUACCGGAAUUCUGAAGAAACCUAGUGGUGAUUCAAACAAGUCAAAAAAUAAAGUGAGCCUUGUUGAGCCUCUUCUAUAA